rnacentral:rRNA from 1 species
UACGUAGGGUGCAAGCGUUGUCCGGAAUUAUUGGGCGUAAAGGGCUCGUAGGCGGUCCAUCGCGUCGGGAGUGAAAAGCUGGGGCUUAACCCCAGUCCUGCUUCCGAUACGGGUGGACUAGAGGUAGGUAGGGGAGAUCGGAAUUCCUGGUGUAGCGGUGAAAUGCGCAGAUAUCAGGAGGAACACCGGUGGCGAAGGCGGUUCUCUGGGCCUGUACUGACGCUGAUGCGCGAAAGCGUGGGGAGCAAACGGG